rnacentral:tRNA from 1 species
UCCCUGGUGGCUCAGACGGUAAAGCGUCUGCCUGCAAUGCGGGAGACCCGGGUUCAAUCCCUGGGUUGGGAA